AAAUAACCAUCUUAUCAACGGUUCAAACUCCACAUGGAAUACCAUCAAUGCACUUAUUGUUCUUCAUGCGCUUCUCAGACCCUUUCAGUAUUUUUUGAAUCCCAAAGUUGCAAAAUAGCCAGUAUCGCCGCAGUUGGAGCUCAUAGCAAAAGAAAUUCUCGUGCCUUUGCUCGCGGUUUUUCAUCAAUUUGUUGGAAAGGCCGUAGCAAACCAUGACAGUGCAGACUUAGAAACUGAGAAAGCCAUCCUCACUAUAUGCAAAUGCCUGCAUUUUGCAGUAGGUAA